rnacentral:lncRNA from 1 species
CUCUAAACUACUACUGGUGGUGUCCACCCAAGAGUUCUACUUGAAAGGGUAAAAUAGGAACAUUCAUGCUAGUAUAAAUGAAGACCCAAAGCCAAAUUUAGGGUUAUCAGCUUGGAAGGGAAGAUGAAUGAGGUUAGCAGAGAGAUUGGGAAUUCUUUUAAGGGUGGUUACCCCUCUCUGUUAAGCCAAUGAUUCACAACGAAAAUUAACAGCCCUUCAGAUCAAGAAACAGCGAUUAAUAUUUUCCUGUUGGCUGUUGACUAACAGAUUCCUAUUAAUAUCUUCCACACACACACACAUACAUCUGCGUUUACGCAUAGGGGCUGUGACGAUGAUUCCUGAUUCUUCUGAGCUGAUGAAUCGGACUUUGAGACGAAAUGGCCCGUAUCUUGGCGGGGCAACCGGAGAUUUUGCAGCCUUGGCGGGGUUAUAGUCUCCUUGUCUGAUUAUAAUUUAUAAGACAGAGAUCUGAGCCUCAAUUUCUUUCACUGCAUAAUUUUUAUUUAUUUUAUUUUUACUUUUUUUCUAAUUUCUUAUAGAUUCAGUAAUUUUAUUUAUUUAUUUAUUUUGAGGGGAAAGAAAAUCUGGUUAAAAAAUUUAAAAUAUUUCAAAAUUAGUUCUGUGGAGACUAGUCAAUUUGUCCAACCAUACUAUAAGUACAACUUUUUGUACAAUCUGGUUGACAAGGGGGCCAAGUGGUGGCUGUCCCUCCAAUAGUAGUAUUAUAUGGAUAUUAUGUAAUUUCUUAUGUAAAUUUUGAUGUACAUAUGGUAAGGUCCUUAAUAAUUUAUCUCACUAGGCCCGUUAAAAACUCUUAACUAAUGUGUUUGGAGGG